UACGUAGGGGGGCUAGCGUUGUCCGGAAUCAUUGGGCGUAAAGAGCGUGUAGGCGGCCCGGUAAGUCCGCUGUGAAAGUCGGGGGGCUCAACCCUCGAAUGCCGGUGGAUACUGUCGGGCUAGAGUGCGGAAGAGGCGAGUGGAAUUCCUGGUGUAGCGGUGAAAUGCGCAGAUAUCAGGAGGAACACCGAUUGCGAAGGCAGCUCGCUGGGACGUAACUGACGCUGAGACGCGAAAAGCGUGGGGAGCAAACAGG
rnacentral:rRNA from 1 species